rnacentral:rRNA from 1 species
UACAGAGGCCUCUAGCGUUAGGCGGAAUCACUGGGCUUAAAGCGUGUGUAGGCGGGUCGUUAAGUGCCUUGUGAAAUCCCCUGGCUCAACCAGGGAACUGCUUGGCAUACUGGCGAUCUUGAGCCACCUAGGGGCAACUGGAACAGACGGUGGAGCGGUGAAAUGCGUAGAUAUUGGGAAGAACACCAGUGGCGAAAGCGAGCUUCUGGGCUAUUACUGACGCUGAGGUACGAAAGCGUGGGGAGCAAACGGG